rnacentral:rRNA from 1 species
CUACGGAGGAUGCGAGCGUUAUCCGGAUUUAUUGGGUUUAAAGGGAGCGUAGGUGGAUUGUUAAGUCAGUUGUGAAAGUUUGCGGCUCAACCGUAAAAUUGCAGUUGAUACUGGUUUCCUUGAGUACGGUACAGGUGGGCGGAAUUCGUGGUGUAGCGGUGAAAUGCUUAGAUAUCACGAAGAACUCCGAUCGCGAAGGCAGCUCACCGGGCCGGAACUGACACUGAUGCUCGAAAGUGCGGGUAUCAAACAGGAUUAGAUACCCUGGUAGUCCGCACAGUAAACGAUGAAUACUCGCUGUUUGCGAUAUACAGUAAGCGGCCAAGCGAAAGCAUUAAGUAUUCCACCUGGGGAGUACGCCGGCAACGGUGAAACUCAAAUGAAUUGACGGGG